CAGGGGAAAAUAGUAAAGGCAUUUCUAGCAAAAUACAGUGAGAUGGACUCAAACUUGGCCAUAAAUACUGUUUUAUCUUUCUGCAACUGGUAUUGCAAUUUGUACUGUGGCAAUGACUGAGGUCCCAUUUAAUUGAUCACUGAAGGAAUAGACAGAAAGCCUCCUGAAGAGCUCAGUCCUGCAGUUUUUGUCUUCCCACUUUCUCCUUAAAUGGUUUGUAAAAUCUGCCAAAUGGUGAGAGAAUUUCUCAUAGGUGAAACAUGUUUUAAAUGGGAGAAAUAUUAAUGCUGAUUAACAUUAUUCCUGUUUUAUGAUACAAAAGAAAAAUUUAAAUAGUGUAAUGUAAUAUUUUUAAAUUCAAAGACAUCUUCAUAUCUCUAUGGCCCUGUAAAUUAUCCCACUUGCAUGUGAGAAUCGUAAGGAGAGAAAAAUCAAAUGUACAAUAAGGGAAGUACUUGCUCCUUAGAAAAUUCCAGUGUGGAUUCUUACUGAAGUGAUGAAUAAAUUAGGACAUGAAAUAUGGGCACUAUUGCAGAUAUCUGAGGGGAUAUCUUUUUCACUCAAUGUAACAUCCAUAGAUGAAUUAGUCUGCAUUUCCUGUGUUGUAUUUUUUGACAUUCUGCUUUGCUCUAAUGUUGUCAGACAACUUGUGCUGUCAGAAGACACCGUAGAAAAGUAGGACAAACAGAAAGUAGUCAUUACAUAAUGUAAUGACUGCUUUUUCCCUUGCCUUGGAAAGUGACUUUGCCUCUGCAUCAGACUGAAGUGUUUGCAUCUCCUCUUCCCCUUUAAGAAAUAAAUAGGUCAGUUGCCUGCAACAAAGUGGAAAGAGCCAGCUAUGUCCAUGAUAUUGCCACUGGCAUGUGAUUAGUUAGAAAAUAUGUUAAUUAACCAGGUACAUUUGUGGGUUUCUACCAUAUUUUUCUGAUGGUAGUCUUGUUCAGUAGUCUGCUGAAAAUGUGCCCGGUACAGCAUAAAGUAAUGCACUGAUAAUUAGAUUCCCUGCCCAGUGAUUCAGUCCUUUCCAGUUUCUUGAAGGUCACCUUCAGCUGCCUCCCUGUUCACGCUCCAGUUUCUCCCAGUUCCAUUUCAGUGCUCUGUGCAAUAACAGGUUGCAGAAUUCAGUUUCUCAAAUUGGCAUCUUUAAAACACCCUGCUUUGAAAAUCUAAACACUCUAAUGAUCAUGUGCAUCCACUCUGCAGGCUUUAUAUAAUAAUUUUGGUUUUCCUCUUGUUGACAUUCAAGAGCUAAAGCAAUGCACUGUGCUUUGAAAAUCCAAAAUACAGAAGCAGCAAAUUCCUGUUUUGAAAGCUCUUCAGCAACAGCUACUUCACUCUAGGAGCUUUCUUUUAUGAUACCCUCAGAGCACUGACCAAUGUUUUGAAAUGACACUUAAACUUGAUGAUAAAAUGCAUUAAUGUGUCCCCCAUCCCUAGGAUCUAUGAAUGGAGCCAAACCACACAGUGUAAGUAGUUGAGUAACUCUGACAAGUUACCUCAGAGGAAGUGUGUGUAAGUCUAGUCCAAGUUGGCUGUUUUCAUGAUUACAUUUUCUUUUUAAAUUAUCUGUACCUAGUAUAUAUAUAACCUAUUACAGUUAAUACCCGACUUUCUUUCCUAAAUGUCUUGGGGGUAAAUAGAGAAGUGAGAAAAGGUAUAGGGAAAUAACUGUGUCAAGAAUUCUCAUAUUCAUGAAGACUGCAGGUUUUGUAUACAUUCAACUGGGGCAGCUGCUCGAUUACCCUGCUCACAACACAACAGCCCUUUGAUGAUAAGCCCAAGAGAGCUUGUGCCCCAACUUGCCACACCUCCACGUGGUUUAGGCAAAGACAUAUGUUGUGGCUUAGGUGUGAACUAGGUAUUAAAAGUGUGUGUUGGCCUCCCCGUUUAUCCCCUGUGUGUGUGGACUGGGUAAAUCACAGCAGUGUCCUCUGGAGGCAUCGUGCUGCUGCUGAGGUCUGCUCAGGUGGCACUGAGCCUCCCCUUGGGACAGGCAUGUUUAUAGAUACUGCCAGGAUAAAUAGGUAGCCCAACUAGGGAUUUCUAGUGAAGUGACUGCUCAGAACUUGCAGUCAGGAAAUACUUCUGACUACUGCUUUGUCUCUGAUCUGGUUGCCAGGUGGAUACUGCAGAGAUAAGUUUUUGUUUCUCUUUUACUGAAUUCUAUAGCUUCUGUGAAGAACUUUUUUUAAGGAGAAUAGAAAAUUUCUAACUCCUAUAACAUCAAAAAAGACACUUAACUUAAUAUGCACUAAAGGAUUCACUGAGGAUGACAUUUUCAAAAUUCUUGGGUCAGCAAUCUCAUACACUUUUGGGUGCUUUACGAAUAGAAACCAUAAUUAGAGAGACAGAUUUGAACAUGGCAGUGUGCCAUGCACUUAUUAAAAUCUAAGUGCCUGAAGUCAGCCAUAAGCUUUGGGAUUUGUUUUAUUUGUGAAUAUGAUAGUAAAUUUGGAGUUAUUCUGAAGCAAUAAUUAUUCCUUGAGAUAUGUAUGGCAAAGCUGCCUAAAUGUUUUCUGCUUGCUUACUCUGGUACUACAUCUCUGUAACUUCUGCUGUUCUGGGACUAUGUAUUUAUCCCCUCUGCACAAGGCUUUCAUGUCAUUAAAUUUACCUCAAUGUUCUGGUUUUUUUGGUUAAAGUUCUAUAAUAUUUCAGAUGGUUCACACCAGACUAAAGAAACUGUAGGGGGGAAAUUAAAAAAAUCAAGGUGAUUUGUUUAGGCUGUCUUUUCCAGCAUGAACUAGGCAAUCAAUGAGCUUGAGGGUGAAGUACUUGUGCUGGUAAUGCCAGAACACAAGAGUGGCAAAGUUAGAGAAGGAGACUGUAAUGAAGAGCUGUGCUUCAGCUGUGGCAUCCUUUGGUCUCACUACAGCACUUGAUGUUUUGGGGAAAUGAAACAUCAGGCUUUUUUGGAGACCUAGACUAUAUGGGGCCAUUUCUGUUGAAAGCUGAGAACUGGCACCAUGCAUUUGUCUGCUUCAGAUCUCUUGAUUGAUUUCACUAACAUUUUUCAUCUGGCAGCUAUUAACAUUUUUUUGUAACUGAUAAACCUGGAAAGAGCAGUUUGGAGAAUUUGCAUGGAUGUUCAGGGCUUUCAUUUCAAGGCAUCUUACAUUCUUAAAAUGCUUAAGGGGACCUAUAGCUUGUUUGAAAUUAGCUCAGGUUAUUCUGUGCUGCGCUGUUACCUGCAUUACAAAUCUAACUGAAGGUGGGCACUGCUGUAGGUUUGCUGUGCUUCCCAAACCCUGAGAAUCUGCAUUGUGAUUUCUUGUCCAAGUCAUGUGCUCACAUAUUUUCUCUUAUAUGUUAUAGUUCUGUCCUGUCUCUGGGCAGACACUGUACAAGAUGCCAGCGGGGUAUGAAAGGAGAGUUGCCCAUUGGGAGUGUAGGAGAUGCCACGUGGCUUUGACUGGGCUGGGCUGUGACCUCCUGAUCGUCGUCCGUAGGACGAGCUCCUGAGCCUGACCUCCAUCAGAGCUAAAACCUGCUGGAGCUGGGCAAACACCUCAGCUGGCAGCUCCAUGUUUCUCUGAGGACUAGAAGAACCGAGGAAGGAAAAGUGGUGAAUCCAGAAAUGUGUGAAUUCCUCAAGAGGAUGCAGCUCAGACAAGGUGCUGAAGCUCACACUGUUUGUACACUGUUUGUAUCACUGCUGCACAACUUACACAUACUCCCAAUUUUCCUGUGAGGUUCUGUGAUUCCUGAAGUGUACCAGGGCUGAAGUCAGUGAAUCUUCAUAUAGGACUGGAAAUCUACCUUUACUGGACUCUUUAAAAGUACUUUGUUAAAUUGCUUAUGCAAACUCAAUGCAAAGCAAAACAUUACAGCUACUUCUUGGAAUAAUUUCCACAUACCUAGAACCAAAGUUUAAAUUAUUUUUUUAAGUUAUUGGUUUAAUAGAUAUUGCUUAAUAUAUUUUAUUGUAGUAAUAAAGUCUUCAAUUACCAAAUUAAUAUUUCCCAAGUAAAAUCUGGUAAGUCCAAAGUGAAGAGUGGAUUGCUGCCCACAGCUGAUAGUUUAAUAGUGGAAAUGCUAUUUAAUUUUAUUAUUAUUCAAAUUUAGGUUCAGUUUUCUCAAUUAGCAUAUAAAUACUAUAAAUCACUUACAUGGAAAAAGCAUUAUCCUGGAAUAUUUCUAAUGAUUUAAAAUAGCUGAGUAAGGCAAAAUCUUGGCAAGCACAUAGCAGGGAACAAAACUAGGCUGAACAUGGUUGUGGUACAAUGAAAAAUGUUUAUUUUCUCCAGCUUAGUUUCUGUGCAAGAAUUCGUGGACUCUUAAGUAGGGAUCAGAAUCUUUCCUUCUUCAAUCUACUCAUUUAAAGGAGUAACCAUUUUCUUUUAUGUGGUUUUUUUUUUUUUUUUGAGCUGUUUUGCCCAUAUGUUCUGUAACAGAAACCUUUUUUUAAGGGUGAGUUCAAGCUCCUCUUUGGCACCCUUGAAAAUUGCUGCUGAAAGAAUGCUAUUCCUGUAGCCACCCUUUGCCCAUAUGUAUGCAUAAAUGUAUACUAGUAAUUCAGCUGAAGAAAAUGUGCUGAAUCACUCUGCUUUCUCAAUAGAGGGCCAGAGUAAGGAAAUAGAUUGAGCAGCAUGGAUGUUUAUAAAUGAGCACCAUUUCAGCUCAAUGAAAGGGGAAGUGAUAAAGCCAAUGAUUCAUUAAGAAAAAUCUAUUUUCAUCCUUAUUUUGUGUGUGUGGACUCAAGGACUGAUAUCUUCAGUUAUUGCAGCAGAAGUAGGUAGCUUUUAGGCCAUUUAGUGUUUUUAGGUUAAAGUGAACACCCUAAUCUUUUUCCAUUCUUAAAAGAUAGCCAAAUUAAGGAAAGGAAUAUCAAUUUAUUUUCCUCUCUGAGAAAUACUCAGCAUAAGAAAUGACCUGUUGAUACCAUGUGUAACUUUGGACAAGAAGGUAUCAAUGUCUGGUGUAUAUCUGAGGUGCACCAUGAAGUUGGCAGUGCUUGUAUUGGAAAAGAGGGAAACAAAUGCUCUGUUUGAUCUGGCUGCUUGCAGAAUGUCAGAGGGAAUUGUUAUGGAUGUGUGAAGCACAUAGGAGAGCUCAGCUGAGCUGCUGCCCUCAGAGGGGUGAAACUUCUGCCACUCUGAAAGCACUGACACCGUUCAGCCAAAGUCACCCAGGGCACAUUCAGACCUUCCUCGUGCUUUUCAACCACCAGAAUUUGGAAGGAGAGCUAAUUAAAGAUGUACAAAGGUUCAUGUCUAACUUUAUUAUAAAUGCAACUGUGACACAAUUUUUCAGGUGAAACCUACAACGGAAGGGAAGAAAACAUGCAUUUCAAAUGAAGUAGCUCUGCACUCAGGAUGAAAAGCAGGAGAGAUCUUGACUAGGCAAAUUAACCUACCUACCCAUCUAUUGUGUGCUGAAAAAAUUAUUUUUAGCAUGCCUGUGACACAUUUGAUAAUUACUUUUCUCUGUAGUCAAAGGCUCUAUUUAACAAAACAGAUGAAAUAGGGAGUUCAGCAUGAAGGGAGAGGUGUCUGUGUAAUCAUCUUUAUCUUGCUCAUGUUAAUGUCCUGGGAAUGCAUUGCCUUGGAAUAUAUAUAUAUAGUUACCCUCUGAAAGCAGAGCAGAAAUAAUUACCUGUAUUUAGUGCUUGUUAAUAUCCAGAAUAAUAAAGUUUAAAAUCACUUGUGAAGGAUUUGGUCCCAAUAGGUGCUUAGUAGGCUGCAGAACCAGAAAAAUGGCAUGUAAGUGUGGCUACCUGCUUUCACAGGGAGCAUCUCCUUCUUUUCCACACAGACAUCAUUUAAUGCUAAGAUGCUGUGGAAUUUCCUGAGCUGAGUGCUGUGUCUGUUGGGCAGGUCAGCCUGGAUUGCUCCCAGAACCCAAAGGAUAAGACUUGCUGGAGGAGAGUUGUUAGGAUUCUGGCACUGGAGUGUUUUCUGCGUUGAGCUAAUACAGUGCUGAAAGCUAACACAGCAACCAAAGGCCAUUCAGAGCAUCAUCUUAUGUUUGGUUGCUUGCAAAAGAAAAGAUCAGCUUAGAGGGGAAAAAGCAUAUAAAAUCCAAAACAAGAUAAACCUCAGUAAUUCACAGAAAAGUAUCAAAUUAGUGGAACCUCAUUUAAAAAUCAGCAUGAGUUUUAUAUAGUUUCAUAUGCUUUGUCCAUUUAGGCUUUUUUUUUUUUUUUAAAUUAACAACUUUCAAGUAAAGUAAUGAAAAAUAUUUUGACUGGAGGGUUUUGGAAUGAAAUGACAAAUUCAGUGUGUAAUUUGUCAGCAAUUGGGAAUAGAAUUUCUCCAGUCCCAUUUUGCUGAGGGCAUUUUCUCUAUUGUUCGUCUCUUUCUGAUCAUCUCUACUGCCUGUGAAAGGAAAAAAAAAAAAAUCUAUAUUUUUAUUACCUUCACUGAAGAAAUUGAGUGACAGGGAAUUUUUCCAUGACUGACUGCUAAGUAAAAAAAAAAAAGAAGUUAUGGCUGGGUUAUGACUAUUUUCUCCUGCUGUGAUGAGAUUAGAGAAAGUUGAAGUCAGCACCUAGUUGUGGAUAGUCAUCAAUACAGAUGAUAUAUAAUAAAAAUGAAAUCUAGUAUUUCAUUCACCAUUCGAGCAGCAGCUCAGUUUCUGAGCUCACUUCCUCAUUAAGAAACUUCUCUUGAAAGAACCAUCAUUAAAUUAUGUUUCUCUGCUUCUCAGGAUGACGUGCACUUCCUAACUUAGCACUUACACAGUAGGAAAGAAAUAAUUAAUUUCGAGCUUUCAGUUCUCUCUAUUGACUUGCAAGGGGA